UACAUAGGGGGCGAGCGUUAUCCGGAAUUAUUGGGCGUAAAGGGUACGUAGGCGGGCCUGCAAGUCUGAUGUGAAAGCCCACGGCUCAACCGUGGAACGGCAUUGGAAACUGGCAAACUUGAGUGCAGAAGAGGAAAGUGGAAUUCCAUGUGUAGCGGUGAAAUGCGUAGAUAUAUGGAGGAACACCAGUGGCGAAGGCGACUUUCUGGUCUGUAACUGACGCUGAGGCUCGAAAGCGUGGGGAGCGAACAGGAUUAGAUAUCCGGGUA
rnacentral:rRNA from 1 species